UGCAACUGUCAGAAAAAUCUGGCUCCCUGGUCCCCUCACUGCUAGCUUUAUUGCCUACGUGUCUCUCUAAUCUCCAGUGUUUGUUGGUAGUAGGGCCAGUGGAGAGAGGAUGGGAUCCUCAGUGCUCACAGCCUGAUCAGUACCUACCUGUUCUCAGCAUGACAUGCACCGUCGCUGCUGUGAGGUGAUCACCCGGGUGAGCCAAGAGUGCUUUCUAAAAAAGCCAAGUGACCUGGAAAUCAUCCACAGAGGACUCGGUUCUUCCCACUGCCUCACAGUUUGACAGGAGUCCUCCCUACCUGAGCAAGCACUAGACCAGAGGGAAUGGCGGUUGUCAUUGUCAUCAUCGUCGUCAUCAUCAUCGUCGUCUUCGUCAUAGUCAUCAGACGUGGUGUGGGUAGAGUGGGCACACGCAGGCCCCCGAGGGCCGUAUUCUCUUGUUUUCUCUUCUCUCUCUUUUUUUUUUACCUUUCUGUCUCCACUUUCUAGCUGGAGGUGAUUAAUACAAUAUCUAACUAUGGAA